rnacentral:ribozyme from 1 species
UGCCCAGCAACUCCUAUCCCUACCUCCUCGUGGUACCGGCCGGAAACUAUGAGCAACCUUAGGGAAGAUCGGGUAACCAACCCCGGUGGGAACUUUGGUCGUAUGCUGACGGGGAAGG